AGUGUUGGUUGUGUUAGCUAUA
rnacentral:siRNA from 1 species